AGUGAACGCUGGCGGUAGGCCUAACACAUGCAAGUCGAACGGCAGCACAGUAAGAGCUUGCUCUUACGGGUGGCGAGUGGCGGACGGGUGAGGAAUACAUCGGAAUCUACUUUUUCGUGGGGGAUAACGUAGGGAAACUUACGCUAAUACCGCAUACGACCUACGGGUGAAAGCAGGGGGUCUUCGGACCUUGCGCGAUUGAAUGAGCCGAUGUCGGAUUAGCUAGUUGGCGGGGUAAAGGCCCACCAAGGCGACGAUCCGUAGCUGGUCUGAGAGGAUGAUCAGCCACACUGGAACUGAGACACGGUCCAGACUCCUACGGGAGGCAGCAGUGGGGAAUAUUGGACAAUGGGCGCAAGCCUGAUCCAGCCAUACCGCGUGGGUGAAGAAGGCCCUCGGGUUGUAAAGCCCUUUUGUUGGGAAAGAAAAGCAGCAGGUUAAUACCCCGCUGUUCUGACGGUACCCAAAGAAUAAGCACCGGCUAACUUCGUG
rnacentral:rRNA from 1 species